UUUGAAGUACCCUCCGUUUCCUCGGCAGGCCCGCCUGCCAAUGGGGACAACAGCAAACCCUUUUUCUGUAAUAGAAGUACACGUAAAAUCAAAGCAAAUUAAUCAAAACUUUCAACAACGGAUCUCUUGGUUCUGGCAUCGAUGAAGAACGCAGCGAAAUGCGAUAAGUAGUGUGAAUUGCAGAAUUCAGUGAAUCAUCGAAUCUUUGAACGCACAUUGCGCCCUUUGGUAUUCCUUAGGGCAUGCCUGUUCGAGCGUCAUUUAACCCCUCAAGCACUGCUUGGUGUUGGGCGCUUGUCCCGCCCCCGCGCGCGGACUCGCCUUGAAAUCAUUGGCGGCCUGUGUAUUGGCUUCGAGCGCAGCAGAUUCGCGUCUCGCACCCGGCACGCAGGCGUCCAGCAAGCCUCACCUAAUUUUGACCUCGGAUCAGGUAGGGAUACCCGCUGAACUUAAGCAUAU
rnacentral:rRNA from 1 species